rnacentral:lncRNA from 1 species
UGAGAGUGUCUGUCUACACAAUUAGGCCCCUGUCUCUAAUCAACGGAUGCCUCACGGAUACAAGGCUGUUCACAUACGGAAUGUACCUUGUACAUGCACCAACUUCAUGUUGGCUUAUCAGUUCCACCUUCUGUUCUUUAACACGAUAAGAAAUCACCAUAGUCCCCAGUCCAAGUAUCAGAAUGUCACCAUUAAUGAACCCCAAAGCCCUGCAAACACCAAAUGUGCUCCCCGCGUCAUAAGGAAGAUUGAUUACUGACUUCAGGCUCAUAUCCAUAUUCCCGUGAAUGUUUAU